AGGCAUUCAGGCAGCGAGAGCAGAGCAGCGUAGAGCAGCACAGCUGAGCUCGUGAGGCAGGAGACUCAGCCCGAGGAAAUCGCAGAUAAGUUUUUAAUUAAAAAGAUUGAGCAGUAAAAAGAAUUAGAACUCUAAACUUAAGCUAAUAGAGUAGCUUAUCGAAAUAUUACUUAGUCUUAAUAAUCUAAGAAGAUCUUAAGAGAUAACAUGAAGGCUUAUUUAAACAGUUUGAAAAAGGAAAUGAGGAGAAAAGUAUUUGUACUGUAUAAUGGAGGCUGACCAGAGCAGUUUAGGAGAUUGUAAAGGGAGGUUUUGUGAAGUUCUAAAAGGUUCUAGUUUGAAGGUCGGCCUUGUAGAUUAAAACGAAGGUUACCUAAAUAGAAUCUAAGUGGCAUUUAAAACAGUAAAGUUGUAGAGAAUAGUUUGAAAAUGAGGCGGAUUUCUGAGUUCGAGGCCAGCCUGGUCUACAGAGUGAGUUCCAGGACAGCCAGGGCUACACAGAGAAACCCUGUCUUGAAAAAACAAAAAGGUUAGGCUAGUAUUUGGAGAAAGAAGAUUAGAAAAUGGAAGUGAAAGACGAAGAAGACAUACAGGAAGGUGAAGAAAAAGCUGUUAGAGAAGAUAGGAAAAUAGAAGACAAAGCAUCUUUAGAAGACAGAAAAGGUACUUAAAGGCACAGGUAGUAGGAAGCCGAAGAAUAGAAGAUAGAAAGAAGCAA
rnacentral:lncRNA from 1 species